rnacentral:rRNA from 1 species
AACGAACGCUGGCGGCAUGCCUAACACAUGCAAGUCGAACGAGACCUUUGGGUCUAGUGGCGCACGGGUGCGUAACGCGUGGGAACCUGCCCUUAGGUUCGGAAUAACUCCCCGAAAGGGGUGCUAAUACCGGAUAAUGUCUUCGGACCAAAGAUUUAUCGCCUUUGGAUGGGCCCGCGUUGGAUUAGCUAGUUGGUAGGGUAAAAGCCUACCAAGGCGACGAUCCAUAGCUGGUCUGAGAGGAUGAUCAGCCACACUGGGACUGAGACACGGCCCAGACUCCUACGGGAGGCAGCAGUGGGGAAUAUUGGACAAUGGGCGAAAGCCUGAUCCAGCAAUGCCGCGUGAGUGAUGAAGGCCUUAGGGUUGUAAAGCUCUUUUACCCGGGAUGAUAAUGACAGUACCGGGAGAAUAAGCUCCGGCUAACUCCGU